rnacentral:tRNA from 1 species
GUGCCCGUAGUUCAACUGGCGGAGCGUCUGACUGUGGAUCAGAAGGUUGCGGGUUCGAGCCCCGCCGGGCACC